rnacentral:rRNA from 1 species
UACAGAGGGUGCGAGCGUUAAUCGGAAUUACUGGGCGUAAAGCGUGCGUAGACGGCUAUCUAAGUCGGGUGUGAAAGCCCCGGGCUCAACCUGGGAAUUGCAUUCGAGACUGAAUAGCUAGGGUACGGUAGAGGGAAGUGGAAUUUCCGGUGUAGCGGUGAAAUGCGUAGAUAUCGGAAGGAACGCCGGUGGCGAAAGCGGCGUGCUGGACCUCUUCUGACGCUGAGGCGCGAAAGCCAGGGGAGCAAACGGG